rnacentral:misc_RNA from 1 species
GAACGCACAUUGCGCCUCAUGGCAUUCCGUGAGGCAUGCCCAUCUCAGCGUUAGUAAAUAUCAUCAAAUUUUGACAUUAUGUUAAUAUUUGGAUCAUGUCAAGGAAGCGAUUUCCAUUUAUAUGGAUAGCUCCUUGGAAAUUCAUAGGUAGUAUAGUUGCUAUCAUUAGAACGUGAUGAAUAUUCCUUCGUUCAAAUGGAGUUUACUUGUAUGGCCCUGAAACCAUAUAUACCAUUUUGGUAUUUUGUCAAUUUGACCUGAGAUUGGGUAGGGAUACCCGCUGAACUUA